GGGAAUGUAGCUCAGUGAUAGAGCACUUGCCUAGCAUGCAUGAGACACUGGGUUCAAUCCCCAGCCCCC
rnacentral:tRNA from 1 species